rnacentral:rRNA from 1 species
GGUGGCGAUAGCACAUCGGAUACACCUGUUCCCAUGCCGAACACAGAAGUUAAGCGAUGUUACGCCGAAUGUAGUUGGGGGUUGCCCCCUGUGAGACUAGGUAGUCGCCAAGC